ensembl:lncRNA
GAUAUGCUUGUCAUACAUUAUUAUAUUAUCAUUUUGCAAAAUACAAACAAAAGACAGGUGAAAACUUUUACAUUCCUGGUGAUGAGAAGAGACCACAGGAACUCAGAGAAGUAAGAAGCAUCUGACCUAUUCAUCUGAAAAUUGAACUAAAGUGCAUUCAGUAUUCAGUGGGACAAUGGCCUCAGUCACAGGGAGAUUUUUUGCAACACUAAAAGGGUUGUGAACAAAAGACAGCAAAGGCAGAUUGAGCAAUGGUUCAGGGAAAUUGUGUGGGCAGGAAAUACAUUGAAGAGAAAUUCUAGGUAUCCGCAUGCUUAAGCUUUAGGCUGAAAUAUGCCUGGAGAACACUUUGUUUUGAAUAUUUAAUCUUCGCUUCUAUUGAAAGUUCUAACAAUAAAAAAAUAUACAAAAUCUAGAUAAAGGCAGAUUAAGUUAAUUCAUUAUUGCAGUUUAAGAUAAAUCAUCCUUUUUUUGUUCUGCAAGGCCUUAUAGUUUCUUCUACACAAGAAAUAAAACAGAGCUUAGUAUCACUGUACCACUGUAAAAGUUAUAUAUAAGGUUUUACAUUAGCAGACCUAAGAUCUGAAGUGUCCUUCUCAUGUUAUUGCCACUGUAGACUUCUCAGAGCCCAUUAUUCUGGGAGUCACAGAAUCACGGAAUGGGUGAGGUUGGCAGGGAUCUCUGGGUCCAUCUGCCCCAACCCCUGCCUGUGUGGGGACACCCAGAGCAGGAUGCCUGGGCUCAUGUUAAGGCAUCUUCUGAAGAAUUGUAACUCCACAACCUCUAUGGGAAUCCUGUGCCAGUGCUCAGUCCCCCUCACAGAGAAAAAGUACUUUCUGUCUUUUAUUCUCUGGAAAAGAUCAGAGCACCAAGAAUUUACUAAUAUUUUUUGCAAUAUUUCAGUACAUUCUAAAGAAUAAACUACCGAGUUUGCCUAAUUGUCCACUUUAAUAUGUCUUAAUAAUAUCAGGAGCAGGAAGGCUUUCCUCCACAGGCAUAGUUGAUAAAACCUCUUCAAGAACAGCACCUCAGUUUCCUGGGCCUAAACUCGUCCAUGUGUUGCAACUUGCUGUGUUGCAUUCCAUCUGCAGGCAAAUGCUGGCAAAACUGUGACUUUUGCCAACAUCAAAGAACAGGUGAGCCCAGAUUUCUUUCCAGGCUUAUUCACAGAUUCCUACUAUUUAACCACAGUCUGAGAUCAUGAUUUCUGGUUAAAUACAAAGCUAGGAAUAUUUCACAGGCUGUCAGUUUCUUUCAAAAGCAUUACUCUUGGCUCUCAUAAGCAUAUUAUGAAUCAAUAUUUUCAGGGCUUGGGCAAACUGUACUGAUAAUACUGCAAAUAAACAAAUCCCUCUAACAUUAAUUUUUAAUACAAGAACAUAAACAGAACCACCUACUCUGGCUCUUGCAAGCCCACCCUUUCCACAGGGACACUGAAGAAUCACAGAUUUUAAAAGUGUCCUACUGCUGCCAUCUGGCCGCCAGCCUCCUGCUGAUCCCAAUUGGCACUUACAGCAGCAGCAGUCAGGAAAGGAGCAGCUUCCACAAGUGCUGAUUUAGUGCCUUAGGAGACAGAUUGGUCGUGACUGAGGGUAAAAGGAUUUUGAAACACAGUAGAAAAAGAGAAGGG